ensembl:lncRNA
AAGGAACGCUGUUGUCCUGCUGCGUUCUGACCGCUGUGUUGAAGGUAAAAACUCUUGUUUUGCACUUGGAGAAUAAAUUCUCACGUCUCUGUCCAUUCAUCUUACAGCCUUUCGCACGCGGUGUCCUCACUGUAAGGCUGUUUUUAGGAAAAUAUCAGAUCUUUACUGUAAUUGAACAUAAAUCUAUCAACUGAUUUCUGUUGCUUUCUGCACAAAACGUCAGCCAAUGAGUUUUAAGAAUUUUUUUCUCCUCCUUGCAUUGCGCAGUCCUAACUGUACAUGUCCGUAAUAUUGCUGUGUUUUGUUCAGAAAUAAAGAAAAAUAAUCUAUCAUUUUGGUUACGAACAUUAAAUAUUUAGAUCUGAACGUUUGGCUGCGUCCGCAUUAAUCCGGAUAUAUAUUUGAAAACGCAUCUGGCCUUCUCUCCACACCCAGACGCCAUUUUUUCCAUCAAAAACGAAACUUCUUUGAAAACACUCACCCAAGUGCAUGACCUUAAACACGCCUUGUAGUGCGCACUGAGAAAACGGAGAUAUCUGAAAGCGAUGAGGUAUUUUUAGUCAUGUGACCCAUUCGGUUGGAAUCAAACAGACGGUGGACGAUGUUGUGCUGCGGUUGUUGCGCCCGAUAUCCAGUUUGAUAGCGUUGUUGAAGAUUCACGUCGCUUUCUACAACCUUCAGAUUUCAUGUUUACGUAAACGCGGACGGAACCGGGGUCGGGUUUUUCCGCGCGUGCGGUACGAGGAAGUGUGCGUUUCAGUGUGGACGAGCGAUUUUUGGAAAACGCCAGUGUAGACACGAGCGUUUUAAAAAAACUAAAUACAGUUUUCAGAUUAUUUUUCCAGAUUAACGUCUUUGUUUACAGACACGGUGAAAGAUUUUUUUAUCAGGUUUUUUUGUGUUCCUACACAAUUUUUUUAAACAAGUGAUAUUUCCACAAAGUGAAAAUUCAUAUGAAAUUCAAUUUUAAGUAAUAGUAAUGUUUAAAGAACAUUAUUUUAAAUAAUUUACACAUGAAAGGAUGAAUUUUUUUUUUUAGAUAUAUAUCAUCACUUCACAAUAUAUAUAUUUUUUAACUUCCCUUUGUGACGACCCCCUGUAUUUACUUUGAUGAGUCAUCUUUAGCUAACUCGCUGACAUAAUCGUGUGUAAAGGGGUGAACCGGAACAGACGAUCUGCUACAGAAGCUGAACCGGUUCAUGUUUAGAAAACCAGCGUGGCUGAGGGUUUUACUGAUUAUUUAUGUAAUGAAAUACCUGACUGUAAUCCGCAUCGUUGAUGACGUCUGCACCAGAGUGCUGCGAUUAUUUAAACGACGACUUCAUCCACGUUCUAAACUCCGUCUAGUCGUCUCUUGUCCUGAUUUCUGGGACGUGUGUAAGACAAGUGUAGCGACGGAGCGAACGUGAGCCGUGUGUUUUAAGGCAGAUUCGAAGCAGAUGUUGAGGGUCAGACUUUCCGGGGCCUGUUGGGCCGCUGCAUAUUUUCCAUGGUGCAGUGCUGCGAGUGCCGUUAAGUGGAUUUUAAUAACACUCCUCUAAUGAAAUGAUGGAGGGACCGAAGGACGCAGGGAUGGUGGCGAGAGGAAACGCGUCCUGCAGCCGUAGCAGCGUCUCCGGAUGGUCGCUUUCUUUUAAAAAGGAAGAAAAACAGCUCGAAUGUGAUGUGUUUGGAUAUUAAACGAUUCCGGAACGUAUAAUUACAACAUUAUCUCAUGUUUCUGGAAUAUGAAUUCAGAGCGCAGGCGGAAUAUGUGAUACAACCUCACAUUACCGCCAGUCCUGCGUCUCAGACCUGUAAAAGCGUUCAUGAUUUCCAUCUAUAUAUUAUUUAUUUUUUAAUUCCUUCCUUCUUCUCGGGGAAAAAAAAACCCCACGGUAUGAAUUUUUGUUAAAGAGCAGAAAAAUUCCCUACUAAACCCUAUUAAGCUGUUCAACGUCACAGAUGUGGCAGAUGUGUAGAUAAAACAAGUGCACAUUCAUCUUUUUGUGACACGUCCUUGAGGUUUUUUCCACUGUGCACCACUUUAUUCGCCGAGCCGUUGCUUUUUGUACACACGCUGACGAUCAGAUCGAACUCUUUAUGUUUAUGGAGGUUUAUGGAGGUUGGAAAAGUCUGAUCAAAACAAGCCUGGGUUCAAUAUCUAAGUGUUAUAUGACAGGAUUAAAUAUCUAAGCGAAGAUAAGAUAAGGAAAACUUUUAUUACCACGUCAUGUGGAAGCGCCACAGCGGCAUAUGAUUAAGAGUAAAAAGAAGUGAGGUAGAAAUAAAUAAAUAAUAUAUAUAUAUAUAUAUAAAUACAAAUCUGCAGAAUGAAAUAUACACGGUGAUAGAAAAGAACAUCCGAAUGUGUGACGGAAGUUUAGAGCUUAUACGCAGGUUGUUGUGUAAUGUACACGCUGAACAUAUACACACAGUAAAUCGUACACACGCAGUACGUACUGACUCUGUACAGACACCAGUUCAUUGCGUUAUUGCUCUGGGAAUUCUGUUCACCUUGUACAUUACACAAUAAAGCGAGUGAGCGCGGGAAGAGUGUCAGGACGGACUGAUCUGCGUGUAGAGACCACAGGGAUUAUAUCUCCUUCUCCGCAGUAGUUAGAGGAACACUGAGUUCCUGUAGCGUGUAAGUGCAGGUGCUUCUGUGCUUUAUUCUGGUCUGUUUACAUUUUUUCGACUUUUCUGCUGAUAUUAAUACAGAUUACGUGCGUCACCUCGUCAGGGUUUUGUGCUGAAACACGGAAGCAGUUCUCACACACGUUCGGGUAAAAAAAGAAAAGCAAGACGCUAAACGAGGGCCGGUUGGAUCCGUGUUCGGAGGACGAGGCUAAUUAAACCACGGCUGUUAGCUGGUGUUGAGGCUGAGGCAUGAUCUGGGUUUGAUGAUAUGCGUGGUAGAUGACCCGAGCUAUUAAAGUGUCCAUUUUCCUGUUAGAGGGAAGCUAAUAAGCAUGAGUGUGUAAAACGUCCCUAAACUAGCUCUGCUGCUCGAGCGUGUAAGAUGUGUAAGCGUGAAAGAGGACGUCUCGGCCGGCAUUUCAUACGUUUUGAUUAAACCGAAUCUCCUAUACACUCACUGUGUACGACUGUGCGUUUAAUCAUAUUAUAACCUGUGUUUGUUAUAUCCUAGUCCGCCUUUAGAACAACAUGACAAUGCAUGCUGAAUCUGAUUUACUGUACUACUGCAAACUUCAGACCAGCUAUAAAGAAUUCUGUGUAUUUUUGCAAAGCGGUAUCGAAGUUGUUCAACGCUGCAUUUAGCGCGCUUCCCAUACUGUUAUGCUCUCGUUCCCUUCUCAGGGAACAGGGUUACAUGCGCAACCCCGACGUUUACAUGAUGUCAGUCUUUCACACUGUGCACGUCCGUACAGUAAAGUGCGUAAGCUCUUCGUUGUCGCUAGUCAACCACGCUCCAUUCAACUACGUCACAUUCUAAAGAGCUUCGAAGAUCUUUAAUUAAAUAAAUGAUCAUGUAAUAAAUCCUUGCUAUUUAAAAUAAAUAAAUAAAUAAAUAAACGACCCCCCCCCCUACCUCUGACAUUACUCUAAAUUUUUCAAUCAUUUUAAAAGGAUACGAAUCUACCCAUAGAUCUAUUUACACAAACAGACACAUAGCGGUACUGCCACUGCUCGCGCGAGUUCUCCCCAGGGCCGGUGAACGCAUCUGAAGAAGAGCGCUGAUGAUUGCAAUGUUGACCAAUCCAUGUUUACAUCGAAACAGAGGUGAACAGGAGCUAGUUUAUAAUCCACGUUGUAUUGAGGGGAAACAGCAAAAUGGUGCCAUGGGGGGUUUUUUACGUGCUAUUAAAAGCCCGGCGCCAUUUUUAUUUUUAUGUGCUUAAAAGGGAGCGGAACCUAAAAAAAUGCCACCAUAUUUUUUAAGUGCUUGAGGGGAUCCGCUAAAACAGAACCAAAAAGUGCUCAAAUUAUCACCAGUUGAGACGUUAAACUAGCAACCAACACAAAAAAUAUAGCGUACGUUUUAUCUUACACACUUUCGGUCAAUUAGAACAAAAAUAACUCUAAAUUGGCGGUUAUAACAUUUGUUCCCUGAUUAACAAGCCACCAGGUCCUGAAGUUCCAGGUCCUGAGGUUCCAGGUCCUGAGUUCCAGGUCCUGAGUUCCAGACAGCUCAGAACUAUAUGUAUGCAGUUAUAUGUACUCAUACUCAACUACAAUGAAUUAUUAUUAUUAUUAUUAUUAUUAUUAUUAUUAUUAUUAUCAGUUGUAAAAUAAUAAUUUAAAACAUGAUUAUGUUGGUGAAAACAUUAUGUUGAAUCAAUGUACAGAUCUUGGCAAAAAAAACUUUGAUUUAUGAGUAUUUUUUGACCUUUCCACAACUAUUUAGCAUCGAUCGUUGUUUAAUCGUUGUCUCAACGUUGAAAUGAUAACAUUAUUUCAACCGUAUGUCAAGGUUGAAGGUCGGUCAGGUACCGGCUGGGAUACUGGGGUACUGGGGGUACUGGGAUUCUGGCGUUCCGUAUUCCAGCUGUCAUAAAAUGUAUAACUCUUCUACACCAACUCACAGUCACUGGUCUUUCUUCUCUUAUUAGCUGAGUUUAAUUUGUGUAUAAAUUGAUGUAAAAAGAACAACAUCUUAUCCCUCUGUUCCACGUGCGAGUUAGCAAAAUGAAUCUUUUUUGUAAAUAAAUAAAACAGACUCCUCUUGGACACUAACACUGAUUGUAUACAUUUGAGUAUUUCGGUCACAUUUGUUAACACGCCUCUAAAAUGACAUUUUGUGCUUCUGAAACUUACUCGGAGACACGGCUACGUACGAGCUCGGUUUGUGAUGUCACAACAUGGCUUAAAUCAGUGACACCUGAUAUGCAGAAUAUUUUGGGAUAAGUCAGUAUCAGACAGUCUUGUGACCUAACUAAUAAGAGUGAUGUACUGUGGUUGUCAUGGUAACAUUGUUAUUGUCAGGGUAACGGUAUAGUUUGAUAGAUUUAGCUGCUGUUAAGUAAAUCAGUAAAAGUGAAAAUUAGGAUGUGUGAGACCCUUGAUCUUUAACAAGCCAGCUAGCUGUAAUUAAUCUUCAUGUGAUGAAUAUUUAUAGAAUAUUUUUGCAUUUUUAAUGAGGGUAAAGUUGUAGAGUUGUAUGUUACUGGGCUGUGUUAAUGGUUGUUAUUAUAUUUCUCAGCAUUAAAAAUAUUUUUGUAAACGUAUUAUUAUACACAGAUUAGCUGUACUUUAAACCCGGGCAUUGAAAGCCUCAUAUGAUCAUAGCAUCAGAUUUGAAGAACUCUAAACUGGGAGGCAGUGAUUAGAACCGGAUGCACCUGUUCUACACACACACACACACACACACACAUACCUACAUAAUGAGUAUAAAGGAGCACACCUAUGCCAGGUAGAAAGAUCAGGUACAUUUAUUCUGUUUCAGAAAUAUUAAAUACCAGAUUAGACUUAAGAGCUGCUGAACUCUGGCUUCUGAUUGGUCAGGAGGUGUCCAUUAAUUUUGUAACAGAAGCUCUGGCAGGAAUUGAGGAAGUUGCACUCAUGAUCAUUUUAAAGGUAUAAAGUGUGACAGGAGUGUGUGAGGAGUGUGUGGGGAGUAUGGAGAGUGUGAGGAGUGUGUGAGGAGUGUGUGGGGAGUAUGGGGAGUGUGUGGGGAGUGUGUGAG